CCUACGGGUGGCAGCAGUGAGGAAUAUUGGUCAAUGGACGCGAGUCUGAACCAGCCAAGUAGCGUGCAGGAUGACUGCCCUAUGGGUUGUAAACUUCUUUUAUAUGGGAAUAAACUGUUCCACGUGUGGGAUUUUGUAUGUACCGUAUGAAUAAGGAUCGGCUAAUUCCGUGCCAGCAGCCGCGGUAAUACGGAGGAUCCGGGCGUUAUCCGGAUUUAUUGGGUUUAAAGGGAGCGUAGGUGGAUUGUUAAGUCAGUUGUGAAAGUUUGCGGCUCAACCGUAAAAUUGCAGUUGAAACUGGCAGUCUUGAGUACAGUAGAGGUGGGCGGAAUUCGUGGUGUAGCGGUGAAAUGCUUAGAUAUCACGAAGAACUCCGAUUGCGAAGGCAGUUCACUGUAGUGCAACUGACACUGAGGCUCGAAAGUGUGGGUAUCAAACAGGAUUAGAUACCCCAGUAGUC
rnacentral:rRNA from 1 species